rnacentral:RNase_P_RNA from 1 species
AAAGCAGGUCAAGAUGGCUGCUGCGAUGCCCAUGGCGUCGCAGAGGAAAGUCCGAGCUCCAAAGGAUAAUGCAUCCCGGUAAUGCGGGACCGUCGGAAGCAAUUCCGAUGAGGAUCAGAGCUACAGUGACGAUGCUCCCUUUUAGGGAGAGUGAAACGAGCAAUCUCUGCAUGGAGCAAUGCCAAAUAGGAGACAAGCCGUCAAACGGCACGGGGUGGUCCGCUCCGUCAUAGUCUCGGGUAGGCUGCAAGAUAUCCGCUUUUAAUGGGCGGAUGUGAGUCAAAUGGCCAUCGCCCUUCAUAAGGGUUACAGAACUCGGCUUAUUGAACUGCUUUUUUA